GAUGAACGCUGGCGGCGUGCCUAAUACAUGCAAGUCGAGCGAACGGACGAGAAGCUUGCUUCUCUGAUGUUAGCGGCGGACGGGUGAGUAACACGUGGAUAACCUACCUAUAAGACUGGGAUAACUUCGGGAAACCGGAGCUAAUACCGGAUAAUAUUUUGAACCGCAUGGUUCAAAAGUGAAAGACGGUCUUGCUGUCACUUAUAGAUGGAUCCGCGCUGCAUUAGCUAGUUGGUAAGGUAACGGCUUACCAAGGCAACGAUGCAUAGCCGACCUGAGAGGGUGAUCGGCCACACUGUAACUGAGACACGUUCCAUACUCCUACGGGAGGCAGCAGUAGGGAAUCUUCCGCAAUGGGCGAAAGCCUGACGGAGCAACGCCGCGUGAGUGAUGAAGGUCUUCGGAUCGUAAAACUCUGUUAUUAGGGAAGAACAUAUGUGUAAGUAACUGUGCACAUCUUGACGGUACCUAAUCAGAAAGCCACGGCUAACUACGUG
rnacentral:rRNA from 1 species